rnacentral:lncRNA from 1 species
CACCACUAGUGGUCCUUUUCUUUUCUUUUUCCCUUUCUCUUUCCCUUUCAAACGAUUCGCGUUCAUCACGCGCAAUCGCAUUUCCACGCUCAACCCAAAGAGCUCGAUCUAGGACUUCCUCAAAAGUCUUUAACUUCAAAGCAUUGAUUACUUUGAAUAUAUCAGGUCGCAGCCCCCGCUCAAAGCACUCUGCUCGAUCUCGAUCAGUAUGAACCAUACCAGGCACACAGUUCACCAAAUGAGUAAAUUCCCGUUCGUACUGCCGUAUCGAACGGUUUUCCUAUCUCAACUUGCGGAAAUCUUCAUUCAUUUUCCUUUUAUCACUGUCGGGAAAGUACUCCAUAAAUAACAUCUCU